GACGAACGCUGGCGGCGUGCUUAACACAUGCAAGUCGAACGGAAAGGCCCUGCUUGCAGGGUGCUCGAGUGGCGAACGGGUGAGUAACACGUGGGUGAUCUGCCCCUUACUUCGGGAUAAGCCUGGGAAACUGGGUCUACUACUGGAUAGGACCAUGCUGUAGGUGGUGUGGUGGAAAGAUUAGUUUCGGUAAGGGAUGAGCUCGCGGCCUAUCAGCUUGUUGGUGGGGUAAUGGCCUACCAAGGCGUCGACGGGUAGCCGGCCUGAGAGGGUGGACGGCCACAUUGGGACUGAGAUACGGCCCAGACUCCUACGGGAGGCAGCAGUGGGGAAUAUUGCACAAUGGGCGCAAGCCUGAUGCAGCGACGCCGCGUGGGGGAUGACGGCCUUCGGGUUGUAAACUCCUUUCAGCCAUGACGAAGCCCUUGUGGUGACGGUAGUGGUAGAAGAAGCACCGGCUAACUACGUG
rnacentral:rRNA from 1 species